CACAUGCAAGUCGAGCGGCAGCGGGAAAGUAGCUUGCUACUUUUGCCGGCGAGCGGCGGACGGGUGAGUAAUGCCUGGGGAUCUACCCAGUCGAGGGGGAUAACAGUUGGAAACGACUGCUAAUACCGCAUACGCCUUACGGGGGAAAGGAGGGGACCUUCGGGCCUUUCGCGAUUGGAUGAACCCAGGUGGGAUUAGCUAGUUGGUGAGGUAAUGGCUCACCAAGGCGACGAUCCCUAGCUGGUCUGAGAGGAUGAUCAGCCACACUGGAACUGAGACACGAGUCCAGACUCCUACGGGAGGCAGCAGUGGGGAAUAUUGCACAAUGGGGGAAACCCUGAUGCAGCCAUGCCGCGUGUGUGAAGAAGGCCUUCGGGUUGUAAAGCACUUCCAGCGAGGAGGAAAGGUUGAUGCCUAAUACGCAUCAACUGUGAUGUUACUCGCAGAAGAAGCACCGGCUAACUCCGUGCCAGCAGCCGCGGAAAUACGGAGGGUGCAAGCGUUAAUCGGAAUUACUGGGCGUAAAGCGCACGCAGGCGGUUGGAUAAGUUAGAUGUGAAAGCCCCGGGCUCAACCUGGGAAUUGCAUUUAAAACUGUCCAGCUAGAGUCUUGUAGAGGGGGGUAGAAUUCCAGGUGUAGCGGUGAAAUGCGUAGAGAUCUGGAGGAAUACCGGUGGCGAAGGCGGCCCCCUGGACAAAGACUGACGCUCAGGUGCGAAAGCGUGGGGAGCAAACAGGAUUAGGUACCCUGGUAGUCCACGCCGUAAACGAUGUCGAUUUGGAGGCUGUGUCCUUGAGACGUGGCUUCCGGAGCUAACGCGUUAAAUCGACCGCCUGGGGAGUACGGCCGCAAGGUUAAAACUCAAAUGAAUUGACGGGGGCCCGCACAAGCGGUGGAGCAUGUGGUUUAAUUCGAUGCAACGCGAAGAACCUUACCUGGCCUUGACAUGUCUGGAAUCCUGCAGAGGUGCGGGAGUGCCUUCGGGAAUCAGAACACAGGUGCUGCAUGGCUGUCGUCAGCUCGUGUCGUGAGGUGUUGGGUUAAGUCCCGCAACGAGCACAACCCCUGUCCUUUGUUGCCAGCACGUAAUGGUGGGAACUCAAGGGCGACUGCCGGUGAUAAGCCGGAGGAAGGUGGGGAUGACGUCAAGUCAUCAUGGCCCUUACGGCCAGGGCUACACACGUGCUACAAUGGCGCGUACAGAGGGCUGCAAGCUAGCGAUAGUGAGCGAAUCCCAAAAAGCGCGUCGUAGUCCGCAUCGGAGUCUGCAUCUCGACUCCGUGAAGUCGGAAUCGCUAGUAAUCGCGAAUCAGAAUGUCGCGGUGAAU
rnacentral:rRNA from 1 species